UACGGAGGGAGCUAGCGUUGUUCGGAAUUACUGGGCGUAAAGCGCACGUAGGCGGCUUUGUAAGUUAGAGGUGAAAGCCCGGAGCUCAACUCCGGAAUAGCCUUUAAGACUGCAUCGCUUGAAUCCGGGAGAGGUGAGUGGAAUUCCGGAGUGUAGAGGUGAAAUUCGUAGAUAUUCGGAAGAACACCAGUGGCGAAGGCGGCUCACUGGACCGGUAUUGACGCUGAGGUGCGAAAGGCGUGGGGAGCAAACAGG
rnacentral:rRNA from 1 species